GCGGAGCGGCCCAGCGGUGCGCAGAGCUGUGGUGGCGCAGCAUGCGCACUGUUUUCUUCGCUUUGGGGUGGACGCUGUCUGGGCACCUCCAGGGCUUUCCUGCCUCGUGAACGUCCUCCCUGUGCCGCCCGAUCCCCGCGGACCUACAAACCCCGAGGCCUCGAUGGGAUAUUCUGGAUUCUCCGGAGGGUUUUUUUCUAGCGCAGACUGGGUGUUUGUGCUGUCGAUGCUCACAGAAGAAAGGCGCAGAGCUGUGCUAGGAGACUGGAUGCGCCCGUCAGAGUCCUCUGCGGCCCUCUCCCUCAGCUCUUGGCGCAGGUCCGCUCCCGGGGACCGCGCUGAAGCCUCCGGGGAGUCCGGGCGCAUGGUCUACGCUCUACCUACGCGGGUCCUCGGCGCGAUAGCGGCGCUUUGGCUUCGGGCGCUGGAUGGUCAGGGAGAAAGAGGUGAGGGCGCCGGAUUUUCUAACAUGGAUUACUUGGUGCUUAUCAACUGGAUUUAGAAGGCCCAGGACCUCGUCUCCAUCAUCCAUGGUUGUCUUUUCAUCUCCCAGCUGCCCUCCCACCUGGAGUUCUGGAAGCCAGAAGUCCAAAACCAAGAUAUUAAGAAGCUUGUGUUGUCUCCAUGGGCUCCAGGAAGGAUCUGUCCCUGCUUCUUCCAGAAUCUGCUGGCUCAGCUUUCUGCCGCCAUCUUCAUGUGGUCUUCCCUCAACAACAACAGCAACUCCACUGAUACCUGCACAUUUGUUCAGGAAUUACCUGCACUAACUCACACCCCAGAAACCCACAAGGGAAUGCAUACUGCAUAGUAGUUAGAGGUAAAACCAGAGGUUUCUGCUGACAUGGAACAUGGACAAGAGAAUGGCCAAGAUGGAGGCUGACCAAGGGCUGUUCCUGCUCACCCAUGCUACUCACCAGAAGCUCUGUGGAAAAGUGGAAACUAUGUCCCUGGUCUUCCUUUCAGGACUUGGCUGAGAUCAGGCUACUUCUUGAGAGGCCUGGAUUCAACUGAGGAAUAUCAUUUUGGAAAAUAUAGAAACUUCUAGACUGUGGAGACACUUGGGAAGGAAUGAUCUGUGUUGACUUGAAUGAAAAAAGACAUCUCUGGAUUUUACCCACAGCUGGUGAAGGCUCACCAUCCCAACUCAUCUUCUGUCGUGUAGAAAAGUCCCUGAUGCCACUACCCAGAAUGCUCUUCUCCACCUGCCCCUGUCCCAGGCACCGCAUCCUUCCCUGCCUGACCCCACCUCACCUUUGGACCCAAAGAUGCUUCUUAUUUGCUCUAUUAUCUUCGAGCCGGAUGCAGAGUGAAUAGUUAACUAUUCUUGAGUUGAAUGGGUCUUGAUUUUUUUUGUUGCUGUUCCUUGUAAAGAGAUCAUUCUCAGUGCAUGGCACGCAGCCUGGAAAAGGUAUGUGACUCCAGAGUGACACGAGAGCCAGCGUGAAGGCCCUGUUAGCUCUUGGAGGCCAGGGAAAGUGGAGACAGCUGAGCCGGGAGUUGAGUAGAGCUGGCGCUGGCUGUGGUCUUGCACUGGUUGGAUCCACAUGCAGGUGUACAUUUGGACUGGUAGAGGUGAAGCCAUUUUCUGUGACACAAAGGGAAUGAGCUAAAAGACCUUCUUCAGAGGUGGCAGUUGGCAAUCAGCUCAUCCAGGGCUGUGUGACUGAGCCGCCAGCUCCAUUGGUGUUGCCUUCUGUGCAUGUCCUCGCUGUCCUGUGUGCUGUCAGCAGCCGGAGCCUUUUCCUCCUCCCUCCUCUGUGGCCUCUACUUGUGCAGUUGGAAAUCCUUCCUAAUCAUGUCAUGACUCCACCUUCUUGACUGUGCACUCGAAGAUGUUUGAGACUUUUUUUUAUUUAUAAAAUGGAUGGAUAGUUUGUUUCCUCGAAUUGUCAUUGGCAUGAUUCUAUGGCUGUGUUCAGUGACUUUACAGUGGGGCAUUGUCUUUGGCCUCUCAGAUUCUCCAUGGUGGAAUUGAAGAGACUUCCUAAAGAUGUUUAAUGCUGCUGAAAUCAAAAGGAGGCUUACAAACAUCCACCUGCCCUCCCUCCCUCCCCCUCCAUCCCUCCUUCCCUCCGUCCCUCCCUCCUUUCCUAAGCACACAGUGCCAUUGUCUGUGUUGUAUGAGUUUCUUCAGGUUUGAAGGAAUGGUGACCCACUCCUAUUAUCCCUAUAGGUCUUUUCUAACAGUGGGUAAGGUAAUAGAAAUGGUUGGAGGGACUGCCCAGAUGGCCUGCCCUAUAAUCCCAUAGUUAGACCAUAUACUCAAGAACUACAGGGAUGACAAGGACGGUAGCAUCCAGACCGUCAUGUGCCUCCCUAUACAGUAGGAAAUAGUGUUUCUAACUCCCACAUUCCACUCUGUGGAGCUGGGGAGAUCCAGUCAUCCCAGACUGCCAAGGACAUGGGAUUUCUUGGGACAAGAGAUUUGGGGGAGCUAAACCUGGGGCUGACUUAGGAAAAGUGUCACGAUUGGUCAUCCUACUGAGUGAACCAGUGACCAUAUCUCUUCUGCUGCAGCAGCAAGGGAAAGCUUCUAGGUUGCUUGGCCAAUUCCUAUUCAGAGCUGUAUAUCUGGUCACUCUUUGGACACAGGUCUGAGCGGAUCAGGUGCUCCAUCCUGACCAAAUCUGUUAUCUGUAAGAUGGUAAGUUUGUCUUGUACUGAAGAAAAUCUGAAGUGUCAUGGGCCAGAAAAUAUGAAGUGUCGUGGGCCAGUUGAGACCAUGUCCUUCCGAGGAGUUUGUAUACAGUGGGCAUGGCAGAAAUUCAAAAUACCUGGGAUUGCUCUAGGGCAGUCCUAUGUAGGUGACACUUACCUCUUAUUCAAAAUGAAACUGCCCUUGAAGAAGCAAACCCACAGCCACCAGGAUAGUACAGGAUGCAUGGCACCAUGUUCAUGUUUGCAUGUGUGUGUGUGUGUGUGUGUGUGUGUGCUUAACACCUGUGCAAACAUGUGCUAUAGAGAAUAAACCAAGAUCAAAAAUUUGCAUCUUCGCUAGACAGAGACAAAGAGCUGAAAUCUUAGGGACGAUGUCUGGAAAGCAAGGGACUUGGCUAGGAGACUUCCUGGAAGUCCUUUGAAGUGUAGCUUUUAUUUAGACUAUCAAGGGCAUUUCAGCUGGGGAUAAGUGUGUACUUUCUCUCUAGAGUCCUCCCCGAUAACCCUGAUAACCUGGGUUCAACUCAGAAACCACUGAGUGGGACCUCCCAGCUCACUCUCCCCUUCUCAGUCACUAGCAUCAGGGAGUGGGAGGAACUUCAAGGAGGUGAGGACGGGCGGGGUCAUGCCAAUCCAAUUCGGGGUGUUCAUGACAAGUAAGAGCAAUUGAAAGGUAAAUUACAGGUUCUUUUGCAGCUUGAAAAAGCCAGGUUUUCAGGAUCACCUGGCACCUGAAGCUGUUGCUGCCUGUCAGGGCUUUCAGCCCACAUCUUUCUGCUGAAGGCUAAGCAUGAGGGUCCAUGAUGCUGGAGCAUGGCGUCCCACUAAUUCUUCUCAUCUUGAGUUGAAGGCCACAGGCGGUUAAUUACAUACUAGGGUUGCAAUGAGAUCCAGGGGUUUUGGCAUAAUUCUUGGAUUGGGAAGAAUACUAGCCUGUAUCCUUCUCUUUGGGCACCAUCUUUGAAAAGAUGACCAUGGGAUUGGGGAGAUGGCUCAAUCAAGAAACUAUGUGAGGACCAGUGUGUGGUGGUAUACAGUUAUUAACCCAAUGCUUGAGAGACAGAUUCCUGGGCUUCACUGCUCAGCCAGCCUGGCCUACUUGGCAAGUUCCAGGCCAAUGAGAGACCCUGUCUCAAAAAAACAAGGGGGCUAGAGAGAUGGCUUGGUGUUUAAGAGUGCCUGCUGCUCUUGCAGAGGACCACAGUACAGUUUCCACUCCCCACACCAGGCAGCUCACAACUGCCUGGAGCUCAAGUUCUAGGGCAUCACACACCUUUUUCUGACCUCCACAGAAACUUUGGUCUCUGCUCAAGCACACAUGUGCAUGCAUGCAUGCUCACUCUCUCACUCUGUCUCUCUGUCUCCCUGUCUGCCCCCCCAAAAGAUGAUCAUGUUUCAGCUGACCCCCUUCAUAUGUACCCUGUCACCCUUUGAUCCUAGAAGAAGCUUUGCCAUUGAGAUAGAGACAGCUGUUUCCUACUCCCUUUUCCUCCACAUAGAGCCCCCGGAUCUCAGCAGCUAAAGUACCCUACCUCAUCAGUUUUCUGGAACAAUCUAUUCACACAGGAAUCUCCUUUUAAAUUCUGACCAGAUGUCAUCCAGGCCUGGGGAGGCAGCCUUUGGUUGAGAGGGAAUUGUGAAGGGGGCUGAACAGUAUUUACCACCAUGGUGGGAAGAAGAGAAUUUGAAAGAGCAAUUCAGAGGCUGCCACGUGGCCGUGAUUGUCAACUCCUCAACAACAUUUUUGAGCUAAUAUAUUUUGUCUUCUCCCCUAAUCAGUCUCCUAUUUUUGGAUCCUAGUGGUAUGUGUAUGCUGGUUUAAAAUAAAAAUCACAGGGCAGGGAAACAGGAGACCUGAGAUUUUGAUGUCAGAAAGUCCCUCAUUUUAGCUCCUUGUAUUUAACAUGCAGGGCUGGGCACAGGUGCCUAGGACCAUCUCCUGACGACAUUCACAUUGCUGUUGUAUUUGAAGGACAAGCCAUCAGUUUUCUAGGAGUUGGUGUCUUAAAGAUCUACUGUAUUUUCUGUAGUGGAAGAGACCAUUAGCGGAUAUCCAUGGGCCAAUGGAAAUCACCCCAUCCCCGUGCUGACCACUCUCAACCUGAUCAUGACUCAGGUAUCGUGAUCAUAACGACAUUUCAAAUUUACUCUGCUCCGCACCCCUGGGAUCUUAUGGGGCAUUUGAACUUGACUCCAAACCAUAGGAACACUCUGCUCUACAAACAGACCUGGGGACCUUUCUAUGGAGAUAUGAGUAUGGAAUUACUACAGAUGGGAAGAUGUUUAUGGGGAAGUGUGGCCUCCUGCUCAGGAGACUGCAGGGCAGAGAGUACCUUUGGAAAUGACCACCGACUCUGUAGGCUUGUGGAAAACAUGUGGAGGGAAGCCUAAGGAGAUCCUUGAACUUUUGAUAGGUUGAGGAGUGGUCUGGAUACCUGGGAUCUAGUCCUUUGCCUCAACCAGCUCAAGGUCAUGUGUCAGUCACUCCACCCUGCCUCUGUGGCUCAGUUUUUCUUCGUACAUGCAAUGGAGCAGGGAAGUAAAGACGUUGCCUGUGAGUCAGGUUUGUCGCCCUGCCUGCCCUGGCUGCUGUCUAUUUCCUGAUUGGUAGCUCACUGUCCCUUCAGCUGCACAAAUUGGAAUUAAGACUGUCCCAUCCCAGGGAAGUCCAUUACCAAAGAAUACUUCAAAGAUGUUUGCACAUGUUGUCAGUUGCACUGAGCAUGAGUUUGUUGAAGGAAAAGGCAAAUAGACACACAGCUGGUGACGGGAAAUAAUGGGGGCUGUUUAGCCCUGAGUGACUGCAAGGCAAGGGGGUAAAAAAAAACCAAGUCUGCCUGUCAUUUUGACCAAUAAGUAAAAAUGGGGAGUGCUGAAUAGUUAAAGCCAUUGGGGAUUUAUUAGUUUGCCUAGUGAAGGGCAAAUAUUAAGUCUGAAAUUGACCCAUCCUGGGACCUGCCUUUUGGCUUUUGUGACCUGCCAGGUGCUGAUCUCUGCAGACUCCAAGUUACUAAGUUCUCUUCGGUUUCUUUUUUAAAGUUGUGUUCUGUCUCCCUCUUUGGUCCCUCCUUUACCUAUCCUUUCCACCUCCCACCCUUCCCAGAAACUCAAGUAUGGAUUUUGGAGGAGGUGGAAGUCUGCCGGAUCAUAAAAUUCUUUGUACCAAGGGCUCUGACUGGCCUGGGGUUGAGCUGCCUGCAAUUGGGUGGCCUUGGGAAGUGAGCUUACUAGGUUGCCGUACAGAUUCUCCAUCUUCUGACCUGGACUUUAGAGUGCUAAUAGGCAAAGGAUUUGUCCCUCAUUAAACUUACAGUGAGUACAGUGGCAAGUGUUAGAAAGGCCAGACCAUAGCUAUUUCUAAAUCAUAACUCUCUGUCCUAGGAGACCAUACUUGCCUCUCCAUGACAAGUAACUUCAGCACGCAUGUCCAGAGAGGUACUACUUAAGGAGGGGUCCACUGGACCUAUGACUAUUAGAACAGGGGGGGAUGAGCAGUCUACCUAGCUUCCAAGAAUCAGGCAGAAUUUGAGCAUCCCCAGUAGCAAGCAGCCCACUACAUUUGUGGGGUGCUUGGGUCUCCCUUGGGGUGCAGUACUGCUGGGCACAUAGCUCUAUGUCAGACCCUCAGGGCUCUUAUCUAGAGCUGCUCCAGGAGGCUUCCCAGGAAAGUAAGUCUUCCUUCCCUGCCCCAGACUUUACAGACAACUCUCCAUCUAUUGUUCAUGCAGCCCACAGUGGGGAAUGUUCUGGAACUGCUUCAUGACGAAAGUCCCUCUCGUAUUCCAGUAAUGAGCUUUUAUUGAAUGGGGUGUGUUAGCUUUCCAUAGCUUUAGCAAAUAACAGAGAUAAUCAGCGUUUAAAGAAAAAAGGUUUAUUUUGGCUCGUUGUUUUGGAGGUUCCGGUCAGAGCCAUUGCUUGGGGACAAACCUGAGUAGAAGCCUACGGCAGAGCAAAGCCACUCAUUUCAUGGCUGGAUAAAGAAAGAAGGUCCUGAGUCCAAUUCCACAGUCUCCCCAAGGGCAUUUCCCCAAUGGCAUGAAGACUUCCAGGAGACCCAGACCUUAACACAUAAGCCUUUGGUUGGUGUGGGGUGGAGGAUAGUUCCAGAUUCAACCUGCAGCGUACCAUGUGAUUUCAAAUCCUUUGUCCCUCUGUACAGAGGAGCCAGUGUUUUGAAGGAUAGCUGGUCAGCUUGUCUCCAACUCUCCCUUUUCUAUGAAGCCUUCCUUGAUUUUUCCUUUCCUCUCAAUCAGUUGGGACAGCCCUCUCAUAUAGUUUAUGAAGCAUGUUGCAGCAUGUAUGUAAGUAUGUAUGUGUGUCCCUCCUCCCAUAGUUAGUAUCAAAUUAACUACCUUGAGGUUGAAUUAUUCUGGGUGUCUCCUCUCUGCUUUCUUCUGUCUCCUCUAACCUCUUCCGUUGGAACAAGAACCUAGUUACUCCCUGUUGAUUGGAAGUUGACCCCAGGUUGCCCCUGUGGUGUCCAGCUCUCACAAUGAGCAGUCUGGUCUGCUGUUCACAGACGUUCUCUGGUCAUUGGAAGACAGGCCCAGAGGAGCCCAGUGCCUUGUCCAAGCCUUACCCAGGUGAGGACUGGUAUUAAGCAGCAGCGGGGUCACUGACAUGGCAAAUGAACCAGCAAGGUGUGGAAUUGACUUUCCCUGUUUGCAGUCUGUCACUGCGUGUAGUGCCACAUCUGCCUGCCUUUUGUUUGCUGUCUAAUAAUCAAUAAAAUGUUAUCAGAACAGAAGAGAAAAUAUGUGAGCUUGACUGUUUGGUUUCCAUGAAGAAAGUGGAAUGCGGCUGGGUUUUCCUGGUCUAACUGCAAAGCUAGGCUCAUGUCUAAGGAGGGCGUAAAUUCAAAGGCUUAGAUCAAGGGGCCAGGGACUUGGUUCCUUUGGUAAAGUGCUUACCACAUAAGCAUGCUGGCUGCUAUAACAAAACACCAUCCAAUCCCAGUGUCUACCUGAGGUUUUCUUAUCUACUCUUCAGUUGAAUGUGAGUUGGCAUCAGUGGAUGCAGAGAAAGCUCUUUGCAGAAAUGUUGGGGCUGAAGGAGUUCUUAAUUGGUCUAUAUAAUAAAAAGGCAGAGUUAGACAUAGAGAGAAAUGCUAGAGAUCAGAGAGGAGAAGCCAGCCACAGCACACCUUACCUCCUAAGCAUCUCAGCAGAGAACAGUUUCCUGUUUCUCCCUGCUUAUAUCCUGUUUCUGCCCAGCUACACAAUUUCCUGUCUGUCUGUACAGACCUCUAGACCUCUAUGGUUAGCUAGUGGCAAGCUCCAUUCUCUGACCCCCAGACAGGCUUUAUUUGUGCAAGAAAGAUAUCACCACACAUGACACUAUUACUCCAAUCCUCUCUCUUCUGUUCACAUUGCAUUGGCAGGAAUUGGUCAGUAUGCUCCACUUGGAUGCAGGAAUCUGAGAAAUUCCCAGCUCUGUUACACAAAUGCUGGUGAACACUAGCAGUUUCUGCCACACACACACACACACCAAAUAUCCACUGUGACAACUGGGGUGUCCUUUAUUGCUUUCAUCAUGGUGGCCUUUCUGCUCCAUAAAUUCUGGCCUCUUGAAUGUGCUGUUGUCACAGCUGGUAUAUAUAGGUUCAAAGGUAUAAGGAAAGCAAGGCAGAGAUGAAGCAAAGCAGAGCCCCGAGUUUCACUUACUUUCAGCAGUGACCCCAUGUAAUUCAUUCACUCUUUCUGUGUCUUGAUUUCCAGUGUGUGCGUGCAUGUUGCAUGUAUGUAAGUAGGUGCUGAUGCACAUGUGUGUAUGUGUGUGGAAGCCAGAGGUCAAACUUAGGUGUUAGUCAUAGGAGCUGUCCACCUUUUUUUUUUUUUUUUAA